GACGAACGCUGGCGGCGUGCCUAAUACAUGCAAGUGGGACGCAAGGAAACACACUGUGCUUGCACACCGUGUUUUCUUGAGUCGCGAACGGGUGAGUAACGCGUAGGUAACCUGCCUAUUAGCGGGGGAUAACUAUUGGAAACGAUAGCUAAUACCGCAUAAUAUUAAUUAUUGCAUGAUAAUUGAUUGAAAGAUGCAAGCGCAUCACUAGUAGAUGGACCUGCGUUGUAUUAGCUAGUUGGUAAGGUAAGAGCUUACCAAGGCGACGAUACAUAGCCGACCUGAGAGUGUGCUCGGCCACACUGGGACUGAGACACGGCCCAGACUCCUACGGGAGGCAGCAGUAGGGAAUCUUCGGCAAUGGACGAAAGUCUGACCGAGCAACGCCGCGUGAGUGAAGAAGGUUUUCGGAUCGUAAAGCUCUGUUGUAAGUCAAGAACGUGUGUGAGAGUGGAAAGUUCACACAGUGACGGUAGCUUACCAGAAAGGGACGGCUAACUACGUG
rnacentral:rRNA from 1 species